UACGUAGGGGGCAAGCGUUGUCCGGAAUCAUUGGGCGUAAAGAGCGUGUAGGCGGCCCGGUAAGUCCGUUGUGAAAGUCGAGGGCUCAACCCUCGAAUGCCGGCGGAUACUGCCGGGCUAGAAUCCGGAAGAGGCGAGUGGAAUUCCUGGUGUAGCGGUGAAAUGCGCAGAUAUCAGGAGGAACACCAAUGGCGAAGGCAGCUCGCUGGGACGGUAUUGACGCUGAGACGCGAAAGCGUGGGGAGCGAACAGG
rnacentral:rRNA from 1 species